UCGCCGCCUAUCCGGCAAGCUGGAUUAAGGGUUUCACUUAGUAGAUCAUUAAUAUUGCAGAGAGCGUCACAGCAAACACCUCAACGGAGAAAAAUGAUGCCCAAUGGACACCGUAGGUACUAACACCGAUACUAAUUGGGGAAAGUUUUCGCUCGUAACUCCCCACGUCAUCACCCAACAAGAAAUUUGCGGGAUGUUCUUGUGGUCAAACCUUCCGAACCAUCCCGCGUAGUGGAGCUGACACCACCAGUCACCAGAAGGCACGGAAGACGCAAAGGCUGCCGUGCGCCGAUCGCGGACGCCGGUCACUGCCGAGUAGGGGCUGCUCUGGGCCGCCGCCGCCACAGCCAGUAGGUCGAGGACGCUGGCCACAUGAGUAUGGCGCAGCAAGACUCCUCCUCCUCCACCGAGCAGGGCCAACGCCCAGCCGCCGCCGCUGCCACCGUCAACGCCAGCGCCGUCCACGCCAGGCCCGGCCCGGUGCGCUGCCGCGUCGGGGCCGCUUGCCGGCCGCGCCGAGUAGCGGCCGCCUAGAGCCGCCGUCACCACAGCCAGCAGGCCCCGGGCCGCCAGCCGCCACCGAGCAGGGGCCACCCCGGGCCGCCGCCUCCAUAGCCAGCAGAUUCCGGUGCCUUGGUCAGCAACCGCGCCGAUGAAGGCAUGACCGUGCCCGGGCAGACCCGGGCCACCGCCACCAGGAUCUGCACCGCCACCGACGGAACCGGCAGCCACCGACGUUGGGGAAAAGAGGACUCCGAGCAACUGGGGGAGAGGGAAAGGGAGAAAGGAGAUGGGGGAGGGGAAGGGGCUGUGGAAGGGGGCCGCCGCCACCGCCGCGGUGGGCGGCGGCGACGGCCGGCUGGGUCGCUGGUUUGGGGGCCGAGGGGCGGCGGGAUGCGUCGCCCCCGAGCCGGACGACGCGAGGGCCGGCGGAAAAAAAAGAAUCCCCCGGCAAGGCAAAC
rnacentral:lncRNA from 1 species